rnacentral:misc_RNA from 1 species
GGAAAGCUUCAAAAAAUGAAUAAGCUCAUUAGACAAUUUCGCAGUAUGAUAGCUUUCCAUUGUAAGUUUACCUCACGCUCAAAAUCAAACAUCAAUGGAGAAUGCACCCCCUUUUUUACUUGUUCUGAUGAAUGGAGUUCAAUUAGAUAAUUCUCCAACAGAAUAGCUGCAGCAAGCACCUGCUUCACAUCUUCCGAGAGGCAAGAUAUAUUUUUGAGAAAUGGGUCCAGUCUUUC